ACGAACGCUGGCGGCGUGCUUAACACAUGCCCGUCGAACGGAAAGGCCUGCUUUCCCUUGUGGAUUGCGGGUACUCGAGUGGCGAACGGGUGAGUAACACGUGAGUGAUCUGCCCCCAACUUGGGUAUAAGCCUGGGAAACUGGGUCUAAUUCCCGAUAGGACUGCAGGGUGGUGCCUGUGGUGGAAAACGAUUUUCUAGUGGUUGGGGAUGAGCUCGCGGCCUAUCAGCUUGUUGGUGGGGUAAUGGCCUACCAAGGCGGCGACGGGUAGCCGGCCUGAGGGGGUGGACGGCCACAUUGGGACUGAGAUACGGCCCAGACUCCUACGGGAGGCAGCAGUGGGGAAUAUUGCACAAUGGGCGGAAGCCUGAUGCGGCGACGCCGCGUGGGGGAUGACGGCCUUCGGGUUGUAAACUCCUUUCGACCGCGAGGAAGCCACCUGGUUGGAAGGGUGGUGACGGUAGUGGUAGAAGAAGCACCGGCUAACUACGUG
rnacentral:rRNA from 1 species